rnacentral:misc_RNA from 1 species
CCGAGUUUACCGACUCCCAACACCCCUGUGAACAUACCGUUUUACGUUGCUUCGGCGGUGCCGCCCCGGGCGCGGGCCUUCUGAAGGCCGCCAGCCCCGGACCCAGGCGCCCGCCGGGGGACCCAAAACCCUCUGUAUUGUCUAGCGGCUUCUUCUGAGUUACGCUCUGCGAGCGGAAAAACGAAUGAUCA